rnacentral:rRNA from 1 species
CCUACGGGAGUCAGCAGUAGGGAAUCUUCCACAAUGGGCGAAAGCCUGAUGGAGCAACGCCGCGUGGGUGAAGAAGGUCUUCGGAUCGUAAAACCCUGUUGUUAGAGAAGAAAGUGCGUGAGAGUAACUGUUCACGUUUCGACGGUAUCUAACCAGAAAGCCACGGCUAACUACGUCCCAGCAGCCGCGGUAAUACGUAGGUGGCAAGCGUUAUCCGGAUUUAUUGGGCGUAAAGGGAACGCAGGCGGUCUUUUAAGUCUGAUGUGAAAGCCUUCGGCUUAACCGGAGUAGUGCAUUGGAAACUGGGAGACUUGAGUGCAGAAGAGGAGAGUGGAACUCCAUGUGUAGCGGUGAAAUGCGUAGAUAUAUGGAAGAACACCAGUGGCGAAAGCGGCUCUCUGGUCUGUAACUGACGCUGAGGUUCGAAAGCGUGGGUAGCAAACAGGAUUAGAUACCCUGGUAGUC